rnacentral:rRNA from 1 species
AUCGCAGGCUGAAACUCGCCUGCGUGAAGUUGGAAUUGCUAGUAAUCGCGGAUCAGCAUGCCGCGGUGAAUACGUUCCCGGGCCUUGUACACACCGCCCGUCACACCAUGGGAGCCGGUAAUACCCGAAGCCAGUAGUCUAACCGCAAGGGGGACGCUGUCGAAGGUAGGAUUGGCGACUGGGGUGAAGUCGUAACAAGGUAUC